rnacentral:rRNA from 1 species
ACCGGCGCACGGGUGCGUAACGCGUAUGCAAUCUACCUUGUACAGGGGGAUAGCCCAGAGAAAUUUGGAUUAAUACCCCAUAGUAUCUUUUGAAGGCAUCUUCAAAUUAUUAAAGUUCCAACGGUACAAGAUGAGCAUGUGUCCCAUUAGUUAGUUGGUGUGGUAACGGCACACCAAGACGAUGAUGGGUAGGGGUCCUGAGAGGGAGAUCCCCCACACUGGUACUGAGACACGGACCAGACUCCUACGGGAGGCAGCAGUGAGGAAUAUUGGGCAAUGGAGGCAACUCUGACCCAGCCAUGCCGCGUGCAGGAAGACGGCCCUAUGGGUUGUAAACUGCUUUUGUACGGGAAGAAACACUCCUACGUGUAGGAGCUUGGCGGUACCGUAAGAAUAAGGAUCGGCUAACUCCGUGCCAGCAGCCGCGGUAAUACGGAGGAUCCAAGCGUUAUCCGGAAUCAUUGGGUUUAAAGGGUCCGUAGGCGGCCUUAUAAGUCAGUGGUGAAAUCUCCUAGCUCAACUAGGAAACUGCCAUUGAUACUGUAGGGCUUGAAUUUUUGUGAAGUAACUAGAAUAUGUAGUGUAGCGGUGAAAUGCUUAGAUAUUACAUGGAAUACCAAUUGCGAAGGCAGGUUACUAACAAACGAUUGACGCUGAUGGACGAAAGCGUGGGGAGCGAACAGGAUUAGAUACCCUGGUAGUCCACGCCGUAAACGAUGGAUACUAGCUGUUCGAACGCAAGUUUGAGUGGCUAAGCGAAAGUGAUAAGUAUCCCACCUGGGGAGUAC